rnacentral:rRNA from 1 species
CCUACGGGUGGCAGCAGUGGGGAAUAUUGGGCAAUGGGCGCAAGCCUGACCCAGCAACGCCGCGUGAAUGAAGAAGGCUUUCUGGUUGUACACUUCUUUUCUGGGGGACGAACAAAUGACGGUACCCCAGGAAUAAGCUCCGGCUAACUACGUGCCAGCAGCCGCGGUAAUAAGUAGGUGGCAAGCGUUAUCCGGAUUUAUUGGGUGUAAAGGGCGUGUAGGCGGGAAUGCAAGUCAGAUGUGAAAACUAUGGGCUCAACCCAUAGCCUGCAUUUGAAACUGUAUUUCUUGAGUGUUGGAGAGGCAAUCGGAAUUCCGUGUGUAGCGGUGAAAUGCGUAGAUAUACGGAGGAACAUCAGUGGCGAAGGCGGAUUGCUGGACAGUAACUGACGCUGAGGCGCGAAAGCGUGGGGAGCAAACAGGAUUAGAUACCCGAGUAGUC